AAGCUCCUCUCUUUCGUUGUACUCCCUUAUAUAUAUUCACACAAUUCAAUACACAUAUACAGCAAGACGCACCCACGCAAAUUAGAUUAUAUGUAUAAGCGUCUUUUGAAACACUUUGUGCGAAUUCAGAGCGGAAAUCCAGCGUUUUCUGAACUCUCUCCCUCAAUGGCUGCUCAUAUAUAGCCAUGCUUCUAUUUCUUGCAGCUUAAUCAAAGAACAGCCAUGAGAGAUUGAGUUCAGAAAACUCUUGCUUUCCUAGUUUUAAGUAGCAAAACACGGACAGGAAGCACACCAACUGCGUGCGUUGCAUACCUUGAUUGGGUGGAUAAUUGAUCGGAAGAUAACUUAGAUUCACCCUAUUAGUAGGCGGGCGGCAUACUUAUCUUUGCGCGACAAUACUAGAAAGAGACUUGCUAGCCUUUUAGGCAGGGCAAAGGGAAAGUAUAAGCAUAUAUAAAAGAAUCAGAGGAUCCUGUGGUAUGGAAGGCGAAGAGAACUAUAUAUGACAAGAACUCUCUCAAAAGACCUCGACAAAUUCUAGCUAUAACUUUCGGGUUGCCCACUUGGUUCGGAGGGCGGUCAUCCGGGAUCGAUUCUUUCCCAUGCCUUAUGGGUUGAGCCUGUCGCACAGGCUUGCCUAGUGGGGUUUACAUCUUUACAUCUCCUGUGUGGUUUACAGGCUAUUACAAGGGAGGUUUACCCAAUGCGUACAAAGUGCUCACCCAAAAAGCAAAGGCUGUGACAAGGUUGUUCGGUUGCGAGUUUCCCUCUUGCCAAAAAAACUCAGCUAUGCUACUAAAAGCUCCAAAGAGCGGCGUCUUACUCUGUAUUCGUACUCCUACCCUUUUUCCACACAAGGAUCAGAUCGUCGCUCCGCUUCAUUACCGGUAAUCGCAAAAGGAAAAAAGAAAAAGGAAAACAAAAUUAAAGAGCAAGGGGGGGUCAGUACUGAUUUUCAUGAAUAAAAGUUUGACAGAUUCGGUUGUUUUUAUUCUCCUAACUAAUUAAGUCGUUAACCAAUCAACUAAACUUUUCUUCCCUUCAAAAAUCCUAUUUAAUUUCUCGUGGUGUACUCUUGUAUUUGAUCUCAUUAUAAGCACGUGACUUAUCCUAUAAACAGUUUAAAUAUAACGAACGAGUCCUGUAUUUUAUUUUACGAAAACGACAGCAUUUGAUUUGAUUUUAUUUUUCAUUUAGG